rnacentral:rRNA from 1 species
GACGAACGCUGGCGGCGUGCUUAACACAUGCAAGUCGAACGGAAAGGCCCUGCUUUUGUGGGGUGCUCGAGUGGCGAACGGGUGAGUAACACGUGAGUAACCUGCCCUUGACUUUGGGAUAACUUCAGGAAACUGGGGCUAAUACCGGAUAGGAGCUCCUGCUGCAUGGUGGGGGUUGGAAAGUUUCGGCGGUUGGGGAUGGACUCGCGGUUUAUCAGCUUGUUGGUGGGGUAGUGGCUUACCAAGGCUUUGACGGGUAGCCGGCCUGGGAGGGUGACCGGCGACAUUGGAACUGAAAUACGGCCCAGACUCCUACGGGAGGCAGCAGUGGGAAAUAUUGCAAAAUGGGCGGAAGCCUGAUGCAGCAACGCCGCGUGCGGGAUGACGGCCUUCGGGUUGUAAACCGCUUUAGCCUGUGACGAAGCGUGAGUGACGGUAAUGGGUAAAGAAGCACCGGCUAACUACGUG